rnacentral:rRNA from 1 species
UACGUAGGGACCGAGCGUUGUCCGGAAUCAUUGGGCGUAAAGAGCGUGUAGGCGGCUUGCUAAGUCUUGCGUGAAAUCUCGGGGCUCAACCCCGAGCGGUCGUGGGAAACUGGCAGGCUAGAGUGCGGGAGAGGAGAAUGGAAUUCCUGGUGUAGCGGUGAAAUGCGCAGAUAUCAGGAAGAACACCCGUGGCGAAGGCGGUUCUCUGGAACGCAACUGACGCUGGAGACGCGAAAGCGUGGGGAGCAAACAGG